rnacentral:rRNA from 1 species
AAAUUGAAGAGUUUGAUCAUGGCUCAGAUUGAACGCUGGCGGCAGGCCUAACACAUGCAAGUCGAACGGUAACAGGAAGCAGCUUGCUGUUUCGCUGACGAGUGGCGGACGGGUGAGUAAUGUCUGGGAAACUGCCUGAUGGAGGGGGAUAACUACUGGAAACGGUGGCUAAUACCGCAUAACGUCGCAAGACCAAAGAGGGGGACCUUCGGGCCUCUUGCC